CGUGAGUGUUCAGAAACAACUGACACGAGGGAACUUCCAGGCAGAGGUGAAAAAUAGCCUUAUUUUCCUUCAUUUACAAAGGAACAGCCUGUCCCUCUACACCACAUGGCCACCACCAACUCCCCCUAAGAAACCCAGCCCAUUGUGAAUGAAAAAUGAAGUUUGUACCAUACUCCAAAGUCCAAAGAAAACAGUGCGUAAGGAGUGGUUGAUCUACUGCUGCCUCCACCAAGCAUCUGUUUGCCAAACUGGUUACUGGUCAUACAACCCCAGCUCACAAAAGAUGGACUAUUCCUUUAAGCGUCUAUGUAAGUUGCACAAUAUAUUCAUAUUUGUUUUGUAAUGGAAACAUAUUUCUCUGUAAUGUGUUAGGGAUAGCAUUGAUAUAAAAUACAUUGAUGUAUUGCCAUGGCUGUGAUAUUGUAAUUUUUACCAACAUCCUAAAAUGUCACUGUUUUUUUGGUACACUUAGUUGCACACUACCUUACUUUUUAUGACUGUAAACUAAAUAUGUAUUUACUAUUGGUCAAAAAAAGUGUUUUGAAUGUGGUGGCACUCUAUAUGAAAACACAGCAUAUAUUGUUUUUAUAAGCAUAGGUUUCUCCAUUAUCUCCUCCAUGGCUGAGACCCAACUUCAGUACUCACUCAU